AAAAAUUUAGUUAAAAAUAUAACAUUAGUUUGUCAAACUAAAAUUAUUUCAAAAGAAAUAAUUUUUA
rnacentral:tRNA from 1 species